rnacentral:rRNA from 1 species
AACGACAUCGAAAGCUUGCUUUUGAUGGGCGUCGACCGGCGCACGGGUGAGUAACGCGUAUCCAACCUGCCCACCACUUGGGGAUAACCUUGCGAAAGUAAGACUAAUACCCAAUGACGUCUCUAGAGGACAUCUGAAAGGGAUUAAAGAUUUAUCGGUGAUGGAUGGGGAUGCGUCUGAUUAGCUUGUUGGCGGGGUAACGGCCCACCAAGGCGACGAUCAGUAGGGGUUCUGAGAGGAAGGUCCCCCACAUUGGAACUGAGACACGGUCCAAACUCCUACGGGAGGCAGCAGUGAGGAAUAUUGGUCAAUGGACGAGAGUCUGAACCAGCCAAGUAGCGUGCAGGAUGACGGCCCUAUGGGUUUGUAAACUGCUUUUAUAAGGGAAUAAAGUGAGUCUCGUGAGACUUUUUGCAUGUACCUUAUGAAUAAGGACCGGCUAAUUCCGUGCCAGCAGCCGCGGUAAUACGGAAGGUCCGGGCGUUAUCCGGAUUUAUUGGGUUUAAAGGGAGCGUASGCCGGAGAUUAAGCGUGUUGUGAAAUGUAGAUGCUCAACAUCUGCACUGCAGCGCGAACUGGUUUCCUUGAGUACGCACAAAGUGGGCGGAAUUCGUGGUGUAGCGGUGAAAUGCUUAGAUAUCACGAAGAACUCCGAUUGCGAAGGCAGCUCACUGGAGCGCAACUGACGCUGAAGCUCGAAAGUGCGGGUAUCGAACAGGAUUAGAUACCCUGGUAGUCCGCACGGUAAACGAUGGAUGCCCGCUGUUGGUCUGAAUAGGUCAGCGGCC